CGACAGCGUCGCUUGUCAGCAGGUGCAUUGAAGCUAUGAUUUGGAACGGCGACGUUUCGUUUUUGGACGACGUCGUUGAGAUGCACGCUCAAGAUUUUCGAAUGGUGGCGUCUUACUUGAACAAACGGCUGCCCAACCACGAUGCUCUAUACAAGAUUAUUGAUCACUAUCUUAAGGAGAUCAAGUAUGAAAAACUAACGGACGAAGAACAUACAGAGAUAUGUAAUAACUUGGAUUGUUCUAAGCUCUCACAUCACAUUCUGGUUGAAUGUGUUCAAAAUUCUCGAAUGUCACUGAAAUUCAUAAUGAGAGCGAUACUCAUGGAGCAUAUCAAAACUCGUCGCUCCCUUGUUGCGACAGUCACCACUACUAUGCAUGAAACAGAACAAAGGUCACUGAUGGAAAUUCUCCAACAAGACAUUACUCAUUGUCACAGAACACAUAUAGAAGAUGCAAUGGAUUCCACCUACUAUCGUAUUCAAAGCCUUGAGAAAGAAUUAAGGGAUAUGAAGAACCAUAUUCAACAUCAUCAUCAAUUCAUGAAUAGGAAUAAGAACAAUAAUGUGUUGAACCAAGAACGUUCAAUGAGUUUUCAUUUUGAACCACCACCAGAGGAUAGUAAAAUACGAAGGGGAGGAAGAGGGUCCAUUUCGUCAUCAAGUUUUUUUCUUGAUAAUAUUAUAACGAAGAAACUGAACGAGGUGGAGAUGUUCCCUACAAGCAAAACCUCAUCAAACAAGAGAAAGUCUUUUCGCUACAAAUUCAUAAGUAGUUUCAAGAAUGUAUUCGGAUGUCGAAAUCAACAACAAACUAAAAG
rnacentral:sRNA from 1 species